rnacentral:rRNA from 1 species
AGAUUGAACGCUGGCGGCAGGCCUAACACAUGCAAGUCGAGCGGCAGCACGGGUACUUGUACCUGGUGGCGAGCGGCGGACGGGUGAGUAAUGCCUAGGAAUCUGCCUGGUAGUGGGGGAUAACGCUCGGAAACGGACGCUAAUACCGCAUACGUCCUACGGGAGAAAGCAGGGGACCUUCGGGCCUUGCGCUAUCAGAUGAGCCUAGGUCGAUUAGCUAGUUGGUGAGGUAAUGGCUCACCAAGGCGACGAUCCGUAACUGGUCUGGAGGGGAUGAUCAGUCACACUGGAACUGAGACACGGUCCAGACUCCGUACGGGAGCAGCA